UGAACACUCAGGUCUUCCUGACUCCAGGCCCAGCGUUCUAUGUACUGCAACCACUUAGCUGCCUAGAUUUAAAGUCACUUUGGGAGAAAUACCACCAGCAGCAGAGAGAACCAUGAAAGCCUCAUGCAGAAGAUAAUGCUUGAACUAAGUGCUGCUCAGGAUGCUAAGAGACAGAGGUGAUGGGAGAAUGCCUUCCAUGACACAUAGAUUUGACAUUUAUUAAGUAUUUACUAUGUCCCAAGCACUGUGCUAAGUUCUAGUUAUACAAAUACAAGCAAAAAAAAAAAAGUCCUUGCCCUAAAGGUAAUGAGGGAAAACAGCACAAACAUGGGAGCUGUAAAAGUGAGGUGAGAGCACCCUGUGGGUACAGAAGCAGAGCCAGGAGAGAGUGAGCCUGGACGGACAGACACUUCCUGAAGUAGUGCUCCCAGUCAGGAAUUCACCAAUUAACAGCUAAGUGGUACAGCAGGUAGAGCACUGGAUGUGCAGUCAUGAAGACCUGAAUUCAAACCUGGUGUGUGAUCUUAAGUCACUUAACCUUGGUCUGCCUCAGUUUCCUCAACUGUAAAAUGGGGAUGAUAAUAGCACCUACCCUCCCAGGUUUGUUAGGAGCAAAUGAGGUAUUUGUUGUGAGAAAUAAAAGACUUUCAACCUCUUUAAUAAAAAGUCUUUGAGACACCAGUCUUGGGAACCGAGUUUGGGGUCUUCUUUACAAUAAUUUAGGGGCUCUCCGGGAUCCAAGCGACCAUCGAGAAGGGUGAGAUCUGAGUGGUCUGGGAAGAGCGCUCUCGUUGAUUUUAACGGUCCGGUUCUUAGAUUUCGCUUUCCUUGGGGCUCGCGAAAUCUCGAAGAUGGCGACGGUUGAUGCUGAGAGAGGUUGAACUGGGGCAGGGAAAAACAAAAACAACAACGGAAAACGGCCGAGGAUCACUCAAGUGGAUAUAUAUCUAACAAAGGAUUGUCAUCCAUGUCUUGCCCACCAUGGUUGUACUCCCGGGCUAUGUCUUCUUUUCUCUCUGUACACUAUCUUGGUUCUCUUUAUAGCUUUGGUGAGUGCAAGUACCAUCCCAGUGCAGAUGACCUCCAUAUCCAGCUGCACAUUUCAACUGAGCUCAGCCUUGCAUCUUCAGCUACCUGCUGGACAGCCCUACUUGCAUGUCCCACAGACAUGAUGUGUGCAAAACAACUCAUUUCCCCUCUAAACCAGCUCUCCCAACUCUAAACCUCAAUGUAAAAUGGUGCCGAAACCCAGGGGUCCAAAUAUUAAUUGGACUCUGCUGAUCUUCUCCUGGCCCUUGGGAUAACAGAAAUUCCAUUUUCAACUCUUAGGAUACCAGCCCCUACCCUUAGUGUCCCCAAGGGGUUUACCUCUCUCCGUACUGGACUCAGCUGGCACUGCAUCCUACACCUUCAUACUGAACUCCCCUCCUCAACCUAUUCUCAGCCCUUGAAAUGGACUCUUCGCCCCUGUUCAGCAGGAAGCAGCUACUGAAGACAAUGACCUUUGCCCCUUUUUCCUAAUGUUUGAGUGGGGAUAUAAUGUGGGGGCAAAGAGUGCCCUAGAAUUGAAAAUAAUAUUAACGGUUAUGUUCCCAGACCCCUGAGGGGGUUUGAGGCUCAUUCUGUAGCCCAUCUUAUACUUUGAGAUCCUGGAACUUGAGAACUUCUCAAGUCCUUUUCCCCUUAUCUUGAAAUGCCAUACAACUUGUACCAAAAGAUUUGCCUUUGUCCCCCCUACCCUGUGUUCCUUAUCCUGUCAUUCAUCUUCCUCAUCCUGUGUCUCAACAAUUUUACCUUAUCUUGUCAACCAUCUUCCUUAUCUUGUUUGUUCUUAUCCUGUCCCUAAUCUCCAGCUCCUGUAUGAAUCUCUAAAAAUACAUCUUCUUCCUACAGGCUCUAUAGUUUUCUGUCUGUAUAAGCCUGGGUCUUUUCCUAUAUGGGUGCCAUUUGUUUAGCUCCUUGCUAACCUCAGGCCCAUGAAGCUUGGACAAAAUAAAGCUCCAAAAGGCUACAGAGAAGGUCUAAGUGAAUUCUUUCACACCUGAACCAGCUCUCCCAAGUCUGAAACUCAACAGUAUUUUCCUGCUAAUCGGUCUUAGUGAGAGUUUGUUAAAGGAAUAUUUAAAUUAUUAGUGCUGGUAGUAAUAAAUCUUGUUAAGAAAAUGUGGAGCCUGAAAUGACUCAAUUCCAGAGCAGGCCUCUUUAAGGACUAGGGUAGCCCAUCUAAUUUAUGUCUGUGUGUAUGGCAUGCUUAUUUCCUCAUACUGUCCAGGUUUAAUUUCUAGAUAAAACAAUAGAUGCUAGAACUGAAUUUUGUACUUUCAAUUUUAAGGAAUACAUUUUGCUGGCUUUUUAAUUUUUGUAAUAUAUACUAUCAAGCUACAUCUUUUGAGCCUAGUUUGAAGGGGAAAGUACCCCCAGAUCUAUGGCCCUUACAAGCCAGAUAAA